ACCAAGGCGACGAUCAGUAGGGGUUCUGAGAGGAAGGUCCCCCACAUUGGAACUGAGACACGGUCCAAACUCCUACGGGAGGCAGCAGUGAGGAAUAUUGGUCAAUGGGCGCAAGCCUGAACCAGCCAAGUAGCGUGAGGGAUGACUGCCCUACGGGUUGUAAACCUCUUUUGUUUGGGAAUAAAGUGCGGGACGCGUCCCGCAUUGCAUGUACCAUUUGAAUAAGGACCGGCUAAUUCCGUGCCAGCAGCCGCGGUAAUACGGAAGGUCCGGGCGUUAUCCGGAUUUAUUGGGUUUAAAGGGAGCGCAGGCCGUGGGUUAAGCGUGUCGUGAAAUUCCGUCGCUCAACGGCGGACGUGCGGCGCGAACUGGUCCACUUGAGUACGCGGGACGUUGGCGGAAUUCGUGGUGUAGCGGUGAAAUGCUUAGAUAUCACGAAGAACUCCGAUUGCGAAGGCAGCUGACGGUAGCGCAACUGACGCUGAGGCUCGAAAGUGCGGGUAUCGAACAGGAUUAGAUACCCUGGUAGUCCGCACGGUAAACGAUGGAUGCCCGCUAUUCGCCCACCUGGGCGAGUGGCCAAGCGAAAGCGUUAAGCAUCCCACCUGGGGAGUACGCCGGCAACGGUGAAACUCAAAGGAAUUGACGGGGGCCCGCACAAGCGGAGGAACAUGUGGUUUAAUUCGAUGAUACGCGAGGAACCUUACCCGGGCUUGAAUUGCAGAGGAAGGAUUUAGAGAUAAUGACGCCCUUCGGGGCCUCUGUGAAGGUGCUGCAUGGUUGUCGUCAGCUCGUGCCGUGAGGUGUCGGCUUAAGUGCCAUAACGAGCGCAACCCCUCUCCGUAGUUGCCAUCGGGUGAUGCCGGGCACUCUGCGGACACUGCCACCGUAAGGUGUGAGGAAGGUGGGGAUGACGUCAAAUCAGCACGGCCCUUACGUCCGGGGCUACACACGUGUUACAAUGGGGCAUACAGAGCGCCGGCGGCCGGCAACGUCCGUCCAAUCGCAAAAGUGUCCCCCAGUUCGGACUGGGGUCUGCAACCCGACCCCACGAAGCUGGAUUCGCUGGUAAUCGCGCAUCAGCCAUGGCGCGGUGAAUACGUUCCCGGGCCUUGUACACACCGCCCGUCAAGCCAUGAAAGCCGGGGGCGCCUGAAGUCCGUGACCGCAAGGGUCGGCCUAGGGCGAAACCGGUGAUUGGGGCUAAGUCGUAACAAGGUA
rnacentral:rRNA from 1 species